CAGAGUUUGAUUAUGGCUCAGGACGAACGCUGGCGGCGUGCUUAACACAUGCAAGUCGAACGGUGAACCCUCCUCGGAGGGGGAUCAGUGGCGAACGGGUGAGUAACACGUGAGCAACCUGCCCCUGGCUCUGGGACAACCACUGGAAACGGUGGCUAAUACCGGAUACGACCCACCUCGGCAUCGGGUGUGGGUGGAAAGUUUUUCGGCUGGGGAUGGGCUCGCGGCCUAUCAGCUUGUUGGUGGGGUGAUGGCCCACCAAGGCGACGACGGGUAGCCGGCCUGAGAGGGCGACCGGCCACACUGGGACUGAGACACGGCCCAGACUCCUACGGGAGGCAGCAGUGGGGAAUAUUGCACAAUGGGCGAAAGCCUGAUGCAGCGACGCCGCGUGAGGGAUGACGGCCUUCGGGUUGUAAACCUCUUUCAGCUCCGAAGAAGCGCAAGUGACGGUAGGAGCAGAAGAAGCACCGGCUAACUACGUGCCAGCAGCCGCGGUAAUACGUAGGGUGCAAGCGUUGUCCGGAAUUAUUGGGCGUAAAGAGCUCGUAGGCGGUGUGUCGCGUCUGCUGUGAAAACUCAGGGCUCAACUCUGAGCUUGCAGUGGGUACGGGCACACUUGAGUGCUGUAGGGGAGACUGGAAUUCCUGGUGUAGCGGUGAAAUGCGCAGAUAUCAGGAGGAACACCGGUGGCGAAGGCGGGUCUCUGGGCAGUUACUGACGCUGAGGAGCGAAAGCAUGGGGAGCGAACAGGAUUAGAUACCCUGGUAGUCCAUGCCGUAAACGUUGGGCGCUAGGUGUGGGGUCCAUUCCACGGAUUCCGUGCCGCAGCUAACGCAUUAAGCGCCCCGCCUGGGGAGUACGGCCGCAAGGCUAAAACUCAAAGGAAUUGACGGGGGCCCCGCACAAGCGGCGGAGCAUGCGGAUUAAUUCGAUGCAACGCGAAGAACCUUACCAAGGCUUGACAUGCGCGGUGGAAUCCCAGAGAUGGGGUGUCAUUUAGUUGGUCGCGUACAGGUGGUGCAUGGUUGUCGUCAGCUCGUGUCGUGAGAUGUUGGGUUAAGUCCCGCAACGAGCGCAACCCUCGUUCCAUGUUGCCAGCAAUUCGGUUGGGGACUCAUGGGAGACUGCCGGGGUCAACUCGGAGGAAGGUGGGGAUGACGUCAAAUCAUCAUGCCCCUUAUGUCUUGGGCUUCACGCAUGC
rnacentral:rRNA from 1 species